rnacentral:rRNA from 1 species
GCACCACUACUCCUACCGGAGGCAGCAGUGGGGAAUAUUGCACAAUGGGCGCAAGCCUGAUGCAGCGACGCCGCGUGAGGGAUGACGGCCUUCGGGUUGUAAACCUCUUUCAGUAGGGAAGAAGCGAAAGUGACGGUACCUGCAGAAGAAGCGCCGGCUAACUACGUGCCAGCAGCCGCGGUAAUACGUAGGGCGCAAGCGUUAUCCGGAAUUAUUGGGCGUAAAGAGCUCGUAGGCGGUUUGUCGCGUCUGCCGUGAAAGUCCGGGGCUCAACUCCGGAUCUGCGGUGGGUACGGGCAGACUAGAGUGAUGUAGGGGAGACUGGAAUUCCUGGUGUAGCGGUGAAAUGCGCAGAUAUCAGGAGGAACACCGAUGGCGAAGGCAGGUCUCUGGGCAUUAACUGACGCUGAGGAGCGAAAGCAUGGGGAGCGAACAGGAUUAGAUACCCUGGUAGUCCAUGCCGUAAACGUUGGGCACUAGGUGUGGGGGACAUUCCACGUUUUCCGCGCCGUAGCUAACGCAUUAAGUGCCCCGCCUGGGGAGUACGGCCGCAAGGCUAAAACUCAAAGGAAUUGACGGGGGCCCGCACAAGCGGCGGAGCAUGCGGAUUAAUUCGAUGCAACGCGAAGAACCUUACCAAGGCUUGACAUGAACCGGAAAGACCUGAAACCAUGCCCC